GCAAGGUCGUCUUGAUCGAUGUUGCCUUCCGCGUCACAGGCCACCGCCACAACUUUGAGGCCAGCCAUCACCG
rnacentral:tRNA from 1 species